UCCGGUUUGGCACCGGCAGUCCCCCGCGAGUCCUCAGCAGCUUGCGCCCUGUUAGCAACACGGGGCGGGGGUUGCGCUCGUUGCGGGACUUAACCCAACAUCUCACGACACGAGCUGACGACAGUCAUGCAACACCUGUGGCCAGGCCCCUUGCGGGGAGCCGACGUUUCCGCCGGUGUCCUGGUCAUGUCAAGCCCUGGUAAGGUUCUUCGCGUCGCGUCGAAUUGAACCCCACGCUCCGCUGCUUGUGCGGGCCCCCGUCAAUUCCUUUGAGUUUUAGCCUUGCGGCCGUACUCCCCAGGCGGGACACUUAAUGCGUUAGCUUCGGCACUGGCGGGGUUGAUACCGCCAACACCUAGUGUCCAUCGUUUACGGCUAGGACUAC
rnacentral:misc_RNA from 1 species